CAUUUAAGGUCCUUGUAAGGACCCUUAUUCUCUUCAGAGCAGGGAUCACAUUACGUACUCAUACUACUUUUGAAAACCAACAACACCACUGCCAAAGCAUCUACCCUUAGAGACUUCUCAUGUAUCGUGUAGCCUUUUUGCUAUCAAAUUCCAUUGCAGUGCAAAUAGUUCAGUCCCUGCUAGGGCUGACGUCACUGAACUGAGUGCAUUUAGGAUAUGCAUUUCUAUAUUCACUUUAUUUGGAAACUGGCAUAUAUAUAUUUAAAAUUAUAUAUAGAUACAUAUAUGAGGAAAAAAAAAGGAUCAAAGGCAUUUUUCUUCCUAAAUAAUUUGGGUGUCUUUUUCCUCUGUUUUAGUCAAAUAUAUGAGAGUAGUUUAUAAAUUGGUUUACCUGGAGUUGCCAAACUUGGCUGUAUAUCUGAGCAGCCUGGAUGAGAAGCCUUUGCAACUGAUAUUGUCCUCAAGCAGCUGAUCAUCAGAGCAUUUCCUUCCCCUAUCCAAUCCAGCAAAAUGAGCACAUCCAGCAGGCAGAGCUCUUCUACGUCUAUGGUCAACAACUUGGCCAAAAUAUUCGAUCCAAAUGCUUUGCAAACCCAAGGGCCUGAUAAUGGAACGGAACCCCCCCAGAUUCUUCAUGUUGAAAGCAGUGAUGUCAGCACAUCUGAAAGUUUUAACAUCAUGGAUAUGAAGUUUGCCUCCCUCGAACAGAAAAUAGAUAAGCUGUUGAUUCUGCAAGACAGUGUUCUUAAGAAGCUUAACAGCGUUUCCCAAGAAAUCUGUUGCAUUGAAAAAGACAUUGAGAUUGUAAAGGCGGAAACAACUGAACCUGAAUCAAGGAUGGAAAGAAACAAAAGUCUGAGAAGUAAUGACAUGAAGAGGCUUUGCCUUAAAAUGAAAAAAUCUCUUUCUGAUAUGAACAGGAAUGCAGAGCAGCAGGUUAAAAGACUAGAUGGACUGGAGCAAAGUGUUUCUGGAUUACAGAAGCUUGUAGGGCCUCUGGUGGAGAAGGUUAAAACAUUAGUAAUUCGUAAUUCGAGUGUAAAACACCAUGUUCAAAAACGUAAACUCUGCAAGGCAGGUGAUUAUACAAAAGGAGCUGGACAUGUUUUUAGAAUGCACAUUUUCUCAGAGACGACAGCUGAUGCCCUGCUCAAGAAGAAAAGUGAAAAGGUCAUCAAAGAAAAGUCACAUGUUAAUGAAACGGGAAAAAAAGAGAAGAAGCCACCAGAUUCAACAGAGGGGGCCAUCCAAAAGAGUCAGUCCUGCUCUCAGGAAGAAGUUUGUAAGCUCAACAAGGAAAAUGCCAAGAGGGAAAGUUCUGUUCUGCUUCGAAUGGAUCCUUCCAAAUGUCAUAAUGAAGGGCCAGAGGAUAAAGGAGAAAGUUUGGCUUUUGAAGGCUAUUCCAAAUGUAGGAGAAGCUCUGUUCAGAAAUCCAUCACUGCAGAAAAGCAGCAAGAAGAUGUUGUUGAUGCUUGUGAAAGGAUAACGGGGCAGGAGGUAGAGAGUGAGCCUCCAGCAGAUGGGGAGAGGAAGGAGGAACAUCAGGUAUCUGGAGCUGAAAAACAAGAGAAGAAGGAGAAAGAAGGGGAGAAAAAUGCUGAUAAGAGUGAAAAAGAUGCUGAGGAACCACCAGCUCCUUCCCAAAAUGAAGAUGAGGCAGGACAAAGCGAUGAUGAAGAGGUACCAGAGGGAAGGUGUAAAGGCUGCGAAAAAGACAAUAGUCCUACUCCACCAGCACCAUUUGAUCACCGGAUUGUCUCAGCCAAAAGGGUGGGGAUCAGCAGUUAUUAUAACGUCAGUGAGAAUGAAAUCCUGGGAGGAGGACGAUUUGGUCAAGUGCAUAAAUGUGAAGAGAAAGCAACAGGUCUCAAGCUAGCAGCCAAAAUUAUAAAAGCAAAAGGUCCUAAACAGAAGGAUGAAGUAAAGAAUGAAAUCAGUGUCAUGAACCAGCUGAAUCAUGUGAACCUCAUCCAGCUGUAUGAUGCCUUUGAAUCUAAAAAUGACAUUGUACUAGUCAUGGAAUAUGUGGAAGGAGGAGAGUUAUUUGACCGAAUUAUUGAUGAAAACUGCAAUUUGACAGAGAUGGAUACUAUCUUGUUCAUAAAACACAUCUGCGAGGGAAUUCAGUACAUGCACCAAAUGUACAUUCUUCAUUUGGAUCUCAAGCCUGAGAAUAUCCUGUGUGUGAACAGAGCAGCAAAUCAAAUAAAAAUUAUUGAUUUUGGAUUGGCAAGAAGAUAUCAACCCAGGGAAAAACUUCGAGUUAACUUUGGGACUCCAGAAUUUCUUGCUCCUGAAGUUGUGAAUUAUGAGUGUGUCUCCUUUCCUACAGACAUGUGGAGUUUAGGGGUCAUUGCUUAUAUGCUCCUCAGUGGAUUGUCUCCUUUUUUGGGUGAUGAUGAUAAUGAGACCCUCAACAACAUCCUGUCCUGUAGCUGGGAUUUUGAAGAUGAGGAAUUUCGAGGUGUUUCUGAUCAGGCCAAAGAUUUCAUCUCAAAGCUUCUCAUCAAGGAUAAAUGCUGGAGAUUAAGUGCAACUGCUGCCUUAAAACACCCAUGGUUAUCAGACCACAAGCUCCACUGCAGACUCCAGAAGGCGGCUAAAGGCGACUCUGCCUCCCAACCACCUCCGGCUCAAUAACCGUUCUCAAAGAGCUGCCAAACAGAAGAAAAGCUGCUGUGUGGUUACUGCUGCUAGGAGAUUUGAAAAUAUCAGCAGUCUUGGUGCUUUACCCCACUGCCGUGACUGAGACUUCUAAACGGACCAACAGCACUUUAGCCGCAGAACAUUGCUGAGCUGCUGCUUCUCUAUUCAGCUGUUGAAAGAAGGAAAGUAUUUCUCCAGGUCACAGGAAGGUGUUUCUUAUGGAGCACCAUGUUCUUCAUGUCUGGGGGCACUGCAUUAGCUUGAAUUUGUAACGAACCUUUCACCUUACCUUACAUCCUCAUUUACUUAUUGAAGGCUCAAAUUAUAAGGUUAAAUUGACUGUUUCUCAUGUCAGCCUAGAAGGCAGUCUGUCACUGUGUUGUAUCUGUAUCCAAGGUUGAUUUGACACUGGAGUCAAAUAAUUUAAAAAAAAAAAAAGAAAAGAAAAGGAGAAAUUGCAGCCAAUUUAAAGCUGCCUUAUGUAGAGGAUUUGAAGUUUGUUUUUCCUGUCACACUAAAAUGAGCUAAGGAUUAGCUCAACCAAAGUUAAAUCUGUGUUAAUGUAACACCAGUGGAAGUGAGAAAUGAGGCUUUCCUUGCACAUAGGCGAGUUUGCUGCAGCCGUGGUAUGAUAUACUUCAGGAUUUUUUAGCCUGAUGAAUUACUGUUCCUUUAAAUGCAUUUUGAUUAAUUAAACAAGCAAGAGAACAAGGCACUAUUCACUUGUACCUGUGCAGACUGUCUUUUCCAAUGGGCAGGUAUAAUUCGGAGUUAUUUUAACAGAAGGUGAUUUUAUACCAGCUAAUUUGUUUAAUGCUAAUAGGACUGAUUAAGACUAUUGGCAAAGAGAAGAUUCAGUGCUCUGCUCAUUAUAACCUCUGGACACAAAUCCAAAUGAAAAUACUCUGUUUUCUAAAGUUUUCUUAUUUUGCUCCCAGACUUUCUGAUUAUUAACUAGAUAAAGAAAUGGGAGUCAAAACAGCUGAAUUCUUUACCUGAGAUUGUCUGCGUAUGGCUCAUCGUUAGAUGAAUCUGAGUCUUAGUUGCCUAGGUUGUGAGAUUAAAAUAAUGAGACUUAUUCCCUGCUGUAUAUGGCUUUCUAACUGCUUGGUUUCAGAGCUACAUAAAUGCAAAGUAUAGUGAGUAUUCUAUUCAGUAAUGCUGACGUUUUGUGGUGCCUUUAGAUUUCCUUUGAUUAAUCCAGUUCUGAUCGACUACAUAUUAAUAUAGCUAUCGCUAUAUAUUUAUCUAUACAUUUCAUAUGUAUUUAUAUUUAAAUUAUGUCUUUUUUUUUUUAAAGGGGAUCAACAUAAAGACAAACCAGUAUUAUUCAUAAUCACCCAAUGAAUUGUUUUCCAUACCUUUGUCCUUUUUGGAUAGUAUUCAUGUUGAAAUAAAAGGGGCCCAUUAAUGGGACAUCAUGGCCAUGACAUUCUCUACAGCCAGUUUGAUCCAGUGUUUUAAAGCCAUCGUAGUAGAUCUCUUAAGACUGCUCCUGUAAAUGAAUAGGGCUUCUUACAGCUGUGGAAUCUAAGAAAUACUGAUGUGUUGUACUAGUGGUUGCAAAUAUAUGAGACCCAUUACUAUUAUCACACAAUAACUCACCAUGUAACUUUGAUACCAUGUAGAGCACUGCCACCUUCAAGUGCUUAUUUGUAGUCUUAAAUAAAGUAAACUUUGACUAGCAGGAAGUUUCUUUGGGAAAAGACUAAGCAGUCUGAAAGGAAGAAAACGAGCAUAUGACUUUUAGGUAGAAACAGGGCUGCUUAUUGUUAGUUACCAUUUAUGUUUGCCUGUGCAAAAUAAAUAGAAAAGCUACUUUUCUGUCAGGGCUGGAGUUCCCACUCCUGUUCUGACUGCCCUCAAGAUGCUGUAGCUUUUUGCACAGUAAACAAUUCGAUGAUCCUAUUGAAAUGCAGCAAACCACUUUGGAAUGACAAGAUCUCAUUAUGCACUUUAGUGGCAGUAUUGUAGGAUUGGGUUGGGGGUUUUGUUUUUCAUGUGGUAGAUUUUACAUGGGUGUGAAUAAAUUGCAUGUAAUUUUGAAUCUUAUUAACUAUACUAAAAUAACAGUGUGACUACAGUCUUAUCUGCUUUGUUGCUCAGUUGAAUUAAGAGGAUUUGUAAUUUAUGGAUAUAUACAUCUGAGUAGUAAUUAAGAGCUUAGUGCUAUAAAGGUCAGCCGUCUCAUCCGUAAAAUGCUCUGUCAGAAAUACACACACGUGGAUUACUAGGGAGGUUGGAAGAACUUGGCGUACUUCACACACCAUGAGAGGUUAGUCCCUUUUAUAAAGCAUGAGUUGAGGAGAAGGCACCUCACUAGCUUCUUUCUUGUGCAACAGGGCGGUGUGCUAAUGUACUGAAGGGAUUUAACUUUCAUACUAACAUGGAUAAUGAUGCUCACACUCUUGAGUCUUAUCUGUAAAUUGUCCCACUGUUUCAUCCUUGGAACAGCUCCUGUGAGUGGGGGAUGAAGUUGAGGUGGGGACAGUAGGAGGAGGUUGGACUGAACGAGUCUCUACAGUGACUGAAGGUGCCAUUUGGUGCCCAGUGUUAAGCAUAAGCAUAGGCCUUCAGGUGUCCAGCGGAGGAGUUAAAAAUCCCUAGCAUACUUCUUGUUACUGCUCCAUAGACUAGAUUUGUGGCACUGAGUCAAAAGGGAGGCACAUUACCAAUAUCAUUAUCACUGUAAGGAUAAAAAAAAUAUACUGCUGUGUAAUUAUGAUUGCUAUGUAUAGCAAUAUGCCUGAGAAAAAUGUUUCCAGAGAUGUUUGUUUGUAUCUUUUCUGGCUGUUGUAAUUUUAGCUAAAUAAUAACUUGACACAGCUUCUUUUUAGUGGCCUUCUAAUUCUGUCUCAUUGCACUUUGAGCAGCAUGCUGUUUUGUGUGUCUGUUGGUGUGUGGAAGUUUGCUUUUGGUUCUGUUUUACUUUGUCCCAUCCCUGGAAGUGUUCAAGGCCAGGCUGGAUGGGGGUUCUAAGCAGCCUGAUCUAGUGGAAGACGUCCCUGUCCAUGGCACGGGGUUUGGAACUCAAUGAUCUUUAAGGUCCUUUCCAGACCAAACCAGUCAGUGAUUCUAUGAUUUAAAUAUGUUCUCUAAUGACUAAUAGCUAGAGAUUGCUAUAUUAAAUUAUUGUUUUGACACAUAAUUAUUUAUUUUCUACUAGGUAAUAACGAUAAAUUGCCUAGGUUCUAAUAUGUCUAUGCAUCUAUGUGAGUUUGCUCAUUAUAAUUUUAUUGUGUAUCAGUUUAGGCAAUUGCAUUUGGAAACUGUGAAUUACUGUGCUUGAGAGCAGAUUUGGGUGUGAACGGCACUGUACUAACUGUCAUUACUCCAUUUACCUGUAUACCUACAUUCAGUUAGAGAUGGCUGCAUGUACAAGAGUGAUACAGAAAUAUCACUUGUGGAAGGGAUAAAGUGUCAAGAUGCGGUACUGGGUCUGUGUACACCACUGUAUUUUUUCCGAUGUGUAAAAGUUAAAAGCCAUAUCAUGGGAACAUAGUGAUUUAUAUUAGGUGGUGAUUUGACCUCCAGGUUUCCAUACAGACUCCCUGCUGGACUGCAAAAAAAGGAGAGGUCUUUCUGUUUGAAAAGGCAGUUUUAGCAGUAAUGUUACAAAGGGGAUGUUCUGCAGGCAAAACCUGCAGGAAGUCACUGGAAGUUGAAGGCACCCUGUGACUGACAGGUUUUCCCAGUCACAGAUGUAACUGUACUCAGAAAAGCAUGUCAAGCACUGAAAGACAGGUGUCACAUGGUGCUCAUGAGGAUUAGGAUGCUGUUAUUCCCAUUUCUACAGAUGCAGCAGAGAGAUUCAGCUAGAGGAAACCUCAGAGAAUUUUGCCCAAGGUAUGCUACAGUAGUCUGACUUUAGCAUCUGGAUUAGAAGCGAAUUUAUUUGGCUCGGAGUGGGACACUCUUGGCUUUUCAACUCUUUUUACAUAGUGAAUAUACCAGAUGCUCUGAAAUGGGUAAAAACCUUUACUGCUGAAAGACGUCCACAUUAUCAUGUCCAUGUUUGUGAGCACCUGCAGCCAGUUGCUUCCCAGAGUACCCUCACAGCAUAAGCAGUUGGCAGUCUGUGGUAAUCCCCUCUGCAGACUACAACAGAAGCUACUUCUUAAUUUCUUUUUCAUAUUCCUUCUAAUGUCAGAAGCUGAAUAAAGUUAAAGCCUAAGCUAAAUUCUGCUAUAACUUGAUUCCAAGCAGAAAUAACAGUGUAGCUCCACAGAAUUAAAUAACUGAAGUGCUUGGUUUAACUUUUGUGAUGUGAGUAGUACAAAAGCUCAGUUUAAUCCACAAUCCCUGUCAAAAAAAAAUCUACUUUCCUGACCAGUAAAAAUAAAAAGAACCUGAUUUUUUUUUUUAACAGCUAAGGAAUCUCCAUCGACAUACGGUUUUUAUGCAGUGGUUAAACUGCUGCAGUAGGAGUCAGGGUAUUUUAGCAUCUUCAAUUUAAUGCUGAUAUUACAAAUCACUGACAGCAUCUUUCAGCUGGAGUUGUGAGAAAAGUAGGUGUUUGUCAGCUCUAAUCUGCUGAUGGUGACCUGGAAGCAUCCCAUCCCUUCCUGUGGCACCACCAGUAAGCAGGGAAAUUCCUAGCUUGUGAACUCUGAAUAUGUGUUAACACUUGAAGUUUUGCUUAGUGUCAAACCUAGAGUAGUGGUGAAUGAAUGAGCACCGAUGCUCUAAACUCCUUCCAGUAGGAUGCUGCAUCUUCACAUACUAGUUAUGUCAUCACCAUAGAUACUUGUCCUUGUGUCUUGUGUGAAUCAAACUAAACAUUGCAUGAAUCCAUUUAGGGACGUUGUUAGACUAUUUCACCUUCCAUGAAGGCUUGGUAGCUGAACAAUUACCUACCUGUUUCAAAUCUUAGAGGAAGACUGGUAGAGAUAAUGCUUUGUAAAUAUGUUCUUUAGGUUUGUCCUUGGAGUUAGUGAUCACAUUUUGGUGUGGCAGAACUAAGGUUUGGGUACCCCAGAGCAACUUCUCUUGAAUUUAGAUGUCAGGCAUGUGAGUACAGAAUUAUGAAGCAUGUGAAUAUUCAUGUACCAUAUCACUUUGGCUUGCAUAUCUGGUUUUGUAGAUUAACUCAUGUACCUCUGGUAUGAAUUCUUUUGUCAAAAACAUGAAGCAACCUUGUAAAAAGAUGACUGAGGAAUAAAUGCUGAUUUUGUUUA